CCCUCUGGGCGACCGAGCAGUCAGUGAACGGCUCGACCUUUUUGAUCGAAGCGAACGGCUCGGGCGAUUUGGCGGACACGGCUUGGGCCGGGGCGGCGGGCGCGCCCGGCUGGGCCUGGGCGAAGAGCGAUGGGCCGGUCAAGGCCAGAACCACGGCCGCCAAUGUCAAACAGAGGAUCAAACGUCUCGAUUUCAUGGGGUGUCUCCCUCCUUCUGUGAGGCCGAAUGAACUGAUUAUACCAUUUCCCCCGCUCGUAUGAUGCCGACUGGCCUUGCAGCCGCAUCGCUCUGUGUGAGAAAAUAGCCCGGAGUGGGGAAGACCGGAAUGCACCCAGGGGUUGAGAAUAUGAAACGAUCGGGUCCGAUGGCAUUGAGCGGGGGGGC
rnacentral:rRNA from 1 species